ACCUUUUGUUUCUCUAGCUUUAU
rnacentral:miRNA from 1 species